rnacentral:rRNA from 1 species
AUUGAACGCUGGCGGCAUGCCUUACACAUGCAAGUCGAACGGCAGCAUGAUCUAGCUUGCUAGAUUGAUGGCGAGUGGCGAACGGGUGAGUAAUACAUCGGAACGUGCCCUGUAGUGGGGGAUAACUAGUCGAAAGAUUAGCUAAUACCGCAUACGACCUGAGGGUGAAAGUGGGGGACCGCAAGGCCUCAUGCUAUAGGAGCGGCCGAUGUCUGAUUAGCUAGUUGGUGAGGUAAAGGCUCACCAAGGCGACGAUCAGUAGCUGGUCUGAGAGGACGAUCAGCCACACUGGGACUGAGACACGGCCCAGACUCCUACGGGAGGCAGCAGUGGGGAAUUUUGGACAAUGGGCGAAAGCCUGAUCCAGCAAUGCCGCUUGUGUGAAGAAGGCCUUCGGGUUGUAAAGCACUUUUGUCCGGAAAGAAAUGGCUCUGGUUAAUACCUGGGGUCGAUGACGGUACCGGAAGAAUAAGAACCGGCUAACUACGUG